AUUGAACGCUGGCGGCAUGCUUUACACAUGCAAGUCGAACGGUAACAGGCCUUCGGGUGCUCACGAGUGGCGAACGGGUGAGUAAUGCAUCGGAACGUGCCCAGAGGUGGGGGAUAACGCAGCGAAAGCUGUGCUAAUACCGCAUGUGAUCUGAGGAUGAAAGCGGGGGACCAGGCAGCAAUGUUUGGCCUCGCGCCUUUGGAGCGGCCGAUGUCAGAUUAGGUAGUUGGUGGGGUAAAGGCCUACCAAGCCGACGAUCUGUAGCUGGUCUGAGAGGACGACCAGCCACACUGGGACUGAGACACGGCCCAGACUCCUACGGGAGGCAGCAGUGGGGAAUUUUGGACAAUGGGCGCAAGCCUGAUCCAGCAAUGCCGCGUGCGGGAAGAAGGCCUUCGGGUUGUAAACCGCUUUUGUACGGAACGAAAAGGCUCUGGCUAAUACCUGGGGCUGAUGACGGUACCGUAAGAAUAAGCACCGGCUAACUACGUG
rnacentral:rRNA from 1 species